rnacentral:lncRNA from 1 species
UAGAUAACGUAAGCCCUAAUAAGCCCUUGUGAAGAUUUUAGCGCCAAUCUAAACGGUAGAAAUCAAGGUUCCUGUUACUUUGAGUCCUUCUAAGAAUUUCAGAUACCUUUUAUGUUUUCUAGCAGAGCUGAGAAACCUCAAGCGUUUUGGGGGGCUGGGGACAUUACAUAGCAGCACAUACAUAAGCUCAUUGUAGCAAGAUAAGACCCACAGCUUAGAAUUCUGGCCAGCCACUGGUACCAGCAUUGUAACUCCCUAAGGAAGAGCUCCCAGGGGGACAGGCAGGCCUCCAUCUUUACUGUUCAGGUACAUUAGCUGUUCCAGCAGGCCUGGGCCUCUAGCCAUCCCCCACCAGAGCUAUCAAGCCCGUGGCAACUUGGCAACUCCCUGGACAGAGCACCCUGGGUCAACUGAAAGCUUCUCCUGUAUUGCUUUAUUUUGAUUCUCAUUCUCCUUGGAUUGGAGUUUGCUUCCCUCCUGAAUCUCAAUGAUGUUCUUAUCCAUAUUCUGAAUGAUAUUUCUGUCAUCUCAAAUGAAUCUAUAAUAUUGAUUAUGGAAAAUUGCAUUUGGCAAAGACUGAAAAAAAAAUAAAAAAUAGCCGAGCAUGGUGGUGUUUGUCUUUAGUCCCAGUUACUCGGGAGGCUGGGGUGGGAGGAUCAUUUAAGCCUGGGUGGUUAACGCUGCAUUGAGCCAAGAUCGUGCCACCACACUUCAGCCUGGGUGACA